UUCAUCCAGAUGCCUUCUCCUGACCCAGCUUACUCACUGGAAAAUAGGAUGGAGCAAACAGAAUUAGGAUUUAACCCCAUUCAAGGUGCAGAAGAAUUCGAAGGAGAUGCUACAACUGGGCCAUAUAGCAAAUCAUCUAGACAACAUGUGGAAGGUUGGCUACCCUUUGGAGCUUGAUACAUAGAAUAAUUUCAGGAGAGGAGACUCACUAACUCCCCAAGUUGAGAAAGUGAACUGUUUGGAGAAGGCACCAUAAAGAAGCCUACAAAAACCAUACACUGCAUCAAGUGAUCCAGAGUGAAAGUUGGGAUGUAAUGAAUUGAACUGAAAGGGGUUGAACACACUUAUUUUGAUUGUAAACUUUUAUGCCAGAGGAGAUUGCCCCCCUAAUUAUCUUUUUGUCAAUGAGCCUACCAAUCAUUGGUUUUGUUCUCUUUCUCUUUUAUUUCUCUCAUAUCUCCGAUUAUUGUAAUUUUCUCUUAGAUAGUACAAUAUUUUAUGUAUCUGAGGUUAUUUAAAAUAAUUCAUUGUGGAGAUUAGGUAUGUAAAUCUGGGAGAUUUCAACAGACUCAUCUCCCAAUAGAAUCACAGGGUGGAUUGGAUAGAUAGAAAACCACUCCCUAAAUUUGUCCUACCCUGCAUCCUAUUUUAUGUGUGUACUUUGCGUGAUGGCUGGGGAACAGGAAUAAAAAGAUAUGGUGUGUGAGGAGAGGUCUCUUUCUCUCUCUGGGUUGGUGUGGUGCUAGAAGAUGGUCUAUAGCAAUAGCUUUGGUGCCUGCUGUGUGCUUGAGUGUUUUGGGGGGACUUUGGUGGCUUUGGAUUGGGGCUUCCUGAUUUGGCUCAGGAUAUUAUUUUAUAUAGGUGAUAUUUUCUGACCCUUUCCUACAUUUCCCUUUUUUCUUUUUUUCCAUUUUCAUUACAAACUUAAUUGUUAAGAACUACUAACAGAUUCCUGACUGGAGAUUUAUUUUUAUAAUUGGUGAUCACACUCUUUUUAAAAAUUAAUAUUACAUUUAAUAAUUUUACUUUCAUUAUUACACUGCAUGACCUUGGACAAGUCAGUUAGGCCUAAAGAAAGGGAUUAGAUAACUCCUAAAAUCCUUCCGGAUCUAAAUCUCCUAAUAAGUAGAGCCAAUAAUCACCAUGUAUUUCCACAUUAAAUCCAUGCUUCUAAUAGUUAGCCAGACAGAUGUUGAGUUUUCUUUCUCUCUGAUUCUUUGGUAGAAAUCCUUGUCAUUUAAUGAGUGAAAGAGCCAGAUAACAGAUAAUCCCUCAGAUGAGCUGGAUAGUUUAGAAAUUUGUCUUUAUAUCUUGACUUUUUUCCUUGCCUUUGAACUUCUAUGGCUCUGGAAGAGAGAGUUAGGCUGAUGACUGUGCAAAUCUGCCUCACUUCAGUCUUAUUCAUGCAAAAGUCAAGAUCUCAGCCCAUGAUGUCAUCGAUCCUCUUCAAAAAUGAAGGAAGAACUAUUACAGCAUAGCUCUAGAGCCUACCAUAGUGCCUCUCACAGACUAGGUGAUUAAUAAAUGCUUUACAAAUGAAUGAAUGAAUGAAUGAAUAAAAAUGAAAUGAAAUGAAUGUUAUACCCCAUUGUGUCCAAAGUAGGAAGGACCUUCAUGUCUCUGAAAUUUACCUCUCUGGUUAAUAAGUAAGUCUGUGUUUUCCCUUCAUUGCCUUUAAGUUUGAGAAACUGGUCUGACUCACUGAGUCUGUGUAAACUCCCAGUGGAGAAGAGAGACAGUUAAUUGUAUUAGUCAGUCCUCAGAGUUACUUAAUUAACACAUCUUUCCUGAGCUCCCCAGAGGGCUCAGCCCUGUGGUCCCCUGUUAUCUGAGGGACAAAGUAAAGACAAGUCAUUCCUUCAAAGCCUGGGAGAACCAGAGGAGGAUUGAGACCCAGGUCUUGCAUUCAGAGACCUCCCACUCUUACUAGUAAUGGAGAACUGAAACCUAAAAAAGAGAAUAAUGCAAGGCAGCAUAUAGGAGUGAAGGAGAGGUUCAUAGGCUUAGAGCUGGAAGGGAUCUUUGAAGUCAUCUUUUCCAACUCCUCAUUUUACAAAUCAGGCAGUGGACUCUUUCAUCAUAUAGCUAGCAAAUGUUUAAAGCAACAUUUGAAUUCAGGUCUACCUAGUUCAAAUGCAAAGCCCUAUCAUUGUCUCUCAGAGACAUCUAGUUUUGAGAAAGACCAAUGACCAUAGAAUGAUCAUGGAAAGUUUUGUGAAGGAGAUGAGACCUGAGUUAAUGGGGAAGCAAUUUUGUUGUUCAGUUGCUUCAGUUGUGCCUAAUUCUUUAUGACCUCCUUUGGGAUUUUCUUGGCAAAGAUAUAUUUCUUUCUCUGGUUCAUGAGAAAACUGAGGCAAACAAGAUUAAGUGAUUUUCCCAGGGUCAUACAACUAGUAAGAGUCUGAGGACAGACAUAUUUGAACUCUUUGUGAUCUCACUUUUUUUUUUUCAGAGACAUUGGAGUAGU